rnacentral:rRNA from 1 species
UACAGAGGGGGCAAGCGUUGUUCGGAAUUACUGGGCGUAAAGGGCGCGUAGGCGGCCUUCUAAGUCGAACGUGAAAUCCCCGGGCUCAACCCGGGAACUGCGUCCGAUACUGGGAGGCUUGAAUCCGGGAGAGGGAUGUGGAAUUCCAGGUGUAGCGGUGAAAUGCGUAGAUAUCUGGAGGAACACCGGUGGCGAAGGCAGCCAUCUGGACCGACACUGACGCUGAGGCGCGAAAGCGUGGGGAGCAAACAGG